AACGAACGCUGGCGGCAGGCUUAACACAUGCAAGUCGAACGCCCCGCAAGGGGAGUGGCAGACGGGUGAGUAACGCGUGGGAGCAUACCCUUUCCUGCGGAAUAGCUCUGGGAAACUGGAAUUAAUACCGCAUACGCCCUACGGGGGAAAGAUUUAUCGGGGAAGGAUUGGCCCGCGUUGGAUUAGCUAGUUGGUGGGGUAAAGGCCUACCAAGGCGACGAUCCAUAGCUGGUCUGAGAGGCUGAUCAGCCACAUUGGGACUGAGACACGUCCCAAACUCCUACGGGAGGCAGCAGUGGGGAAUAUUGGACAAUGGGCGCAAGCCUGAUCCAGCCAUGCCGCGUGAGUGAUGAAGGCCUUAGGGUUGUAAAGCUCUUUCACCGAUGAAGAUAAUGACGGUAGUCGGAGAAGAAGCCCCGGCUAACUUCGUGCCAGCCGCCGCCGUAACAC
rnacentral:rRNA from 1 species